rnacentral:rRNA from 1 species
ACACCAGCACCUCAAGUGGUCAGGAUGAUUAUUGGGCCUAAAGCAUCCGUAGCCGGCUCUGUAAGUUUUCGGUUAAAUCUGUACGCUUAACGUACAGGCUGCCGGGAAUACUGCAGAGCUAGGGAGUGGGUGAGGUAGACGGUACUCGGGAGGAAGUGGUAAAAUGCUUUGAUCUCUCGAUGACCACCUGUGGCGAAGGCGGUCUACCAGAACACGUCCGACGGUGAGGGAUGAAAGCUGGGGGAGCAAACCGGAUUAGAAACCCUAGUAGUCC